GAUGAACGCUGGCGGCGUGCCUAAUACAUGCAAGUCGAGCGAACGGACGAGAAGCUUGCUUCUUUGAUGUUAGCGGCGGGCGGGUGAGUAACACGUGGAUAACCUACCUAUAUGUCUGGGAUAACUUCGGGAAACCGGCUCUUAUACCGGAUAAUAUUCUGCACCGCAUGGUUCAAUGGUGAAAGACGGUCUUGCUGUCUCUUAUAGCUGGAUCCCCGCUGCAUUAGCUGGUUGGUAAGGUCACGGCCUACCAAGGCAACGAUGCAUUGCCGAACGGAGAGGGGGGUCGGCCACCCUGGAAGUGAAACGCGGUCCAGGCUCCUAAGGGAGGGAGCAGAAUGGAAACUUAGGCAAUGGGGGAAAACAUGACGGAGCGAGGGCGAGUGAGUGAUAGAAGUCUUCGGAGCGGAAAAAUCUGUUAUUAGGGAAGAACAGAUGUGGAAGUAACUGUGCAGAGCGUGACGGUAACUAAUAAAAAAGCCACGGCUAACUACGUG
rnacentral:rRNA from 1 species